AUAUUUACCUGGCAAAAGAGGCACCAUGAUCACAAAGGUGGUUUCCCCAGGACAAGGCUUAUCCAUUGCUCUCUGGAUGUGCUGGCCCCUGCAAUUUCCCCAAAUGUGGGAAGCGUGUUCACACUUAC
rnacentral:snRNA from 1 species